rnacentral:rRNA from 1 species
GAUGAACGCUGGCGGCGUGCCUAAUACAUGCAAGUCGAGCGAACGGACGAGAAGCUUGCUUCUCUGAUGUUAGCGGCGGACGGGUGAGUAACACGUGGAUAACCUACCUAUAAGACUGGGAUAACUUCGGGAAACCGGAGCUAAUACCGGAUAAUAUUUUGAACCGCAUGGUUCAAAAGUGAAAGACGGUCUUGCUGUCACUUAUAGAUGGAUCCGCGCUGCAUUAGCUAGUUGGUAAGGUAACGGCUUACCAAGGCAACGAUGCAUAGCCGACCUGAGAGGGUGAUCGGCCACACUGGAACUGAGACACGGUCCAGACUCCUACGGGAGGCAGCAGUAGGGAAUCUUCCGCAAUGGGCGAAAGCCUGACGGAGCAACGCCGCGUGAGUGAUGAAGGUCUUCGGAUCGUAAAACUCUGUUAUUAGGGAAGAACAUAUGUGUAAGUAACUGUGCACAUCUUGACGGUACCUAAUCAGAAAGCCACGGCUAACUACGUGCCAGCAGCCGCGGUAAUACGUAGGUGGCAAGCGUUAUCCGGAAUUAUUGGGCGUAAAGCGCGCGUAGGCGGUUUUUUAAGUCUGAUGUGAAAGCCACGGCUCAACCGUGGAGGGUCAUUGGAAACUGGAAAACUUGAGUGCAGAAGAGGAAAGUGGAAUUCCAUGUGUAGCGGUGAAAUGCGCAGAGAUAUGGAGGAACACCAGUGGCGAAGGCGACUUUCUGGUCUGUAACUGACGCUGAUGUGCGAAAGCGUGGGGAUCAAACAGGAUUAGAUACCCUGGUAGUCCACGCCGUAAACGAUGAGUGCUAAGUGUUAGGGGGUUUCCGCCCCUUAGUGCUGCAGCUAACGCAUUAAGCACUCCGCCUGGGGAGUACGACCGCAAGGUUG